CGCCGCUCUCCUCUGCCCCAACCCCAACCCCGCCGCCGCCUCAAUCCUACCGCCGCCGGCCUCCUCCUCCUCUAGCGCCUCCGCUCCAGCCCCUCACCUUCUCAGCCUGGAUCCGCACGGCAAGGUGUGGGGCUAUGGGAGAGAAGGCUCCAUUUCGCGCGACAAGGUGAGGGGGCGCCCAGAUCCGCAGCGGCACCACCACGCCCUCGUCCACCUGGCCCUCGAGGUCGGCCAUGGAGGUCCGGCCUGACCAAUGGAUGGAUGGGGAUGAAACCCUAGCCCAACACCCACCCAUGGAUGGAUGGGGAUGGGGCGACGACGGCGGUGGCGGCCUUCUCUCGGUGCUUGCUGAUGUGGUGGACAUCGACGUCGGUGACGGGUUGCAACACGUAGACAUCAAAGGCUGCGGGUGUGACGGAGGAGCACCAUGGCGGGCGUGCAGACCAUGGCUCGCUAUGGAAGGCCCUUCCCUUCCCUCUCUCUGUUCGAGCCAUGCUCAGGCAGUCUUUUCUCUUCUCUUCCCGCAAAAAAAGUCUUUUCUCUUCAUGAUCUGAACAUGUUGGAGGCCAUUAUUUCUCCACUGCCGGAGUCUAGCCUCCCUCCGUGGGAUGCCAUGGAGAUGAAACUCCCCUCGACAAAAGAAUUCAAGGGCAUGUGGGAGAGAGAGGAGGUCCAUGGAGAAGAAGCUCUGCUCCAACCCUCCCUGCCUCCUAAUACAAGAUGUCUUUUUUGUGUGGGCUUGUAUUGCAGCAGCCAUGUGCGUAUCAAAAAAGGGUCCAGUUUGCAGCAGUCACAUGAUACGGACAUGUUUUUUCAUCACAAUUGGAUUUUUGGAUUUACUAGGCUAAUUGGUGGUGGUUGCUGUUGUUGUUGUUGUUUUGGCAGCAGCAGCAGCAGGCAGAGUGACGAUGUUGGCUAUGUGCAGGCCAUGGAGGCUUUGAUGAGCACGAGGGGAAGGCCACUGCUUCAACCCCGUUAAGCUUACGUGUGGGAUUUGCUUCGGAAGUUGUCCACGUGAGUCAAUGGGUGCUGCUUCAUGUGGGCAUCCUUUCUGUGGUGUAUGUUGGAGAGGUUACACACCUGAUGAUGUUUACGGCUAGGCACAGGAACAAGCAGAGGCCGAGGAAGUGCGGGCACGUGCUGCUGGCCUUGGCAGGUGUAGGAACCGUGCGAGGAAGGUUCAGCGCGCUGCACAAGUCGGGCCACGCCCGGAGCGCCGUGCCAAUGCAUGUGUGCGUGGUCGGUGGGUUAGCCAAGAUCUGCAUUCUGCGACUUCAUCUUCACCAUGGACACAAGCAAGGACUGAUUGGUGGUUCUUGGUAGCGGUGCCGAGUAUCGGCGGAUCGAAGUGGUCGAGGUCGCGGUUAAUCCACCAGGACGAGACAUGCAUCUUGGAGCUAGCGCAGAGGGGGGAAGAAGCAGGUUGGUAUGGCCCGGAACUUUUGCGCAAAGAAAACACACACAGGGCAGGAACAUGACUACUCUUCCCCUUCCAAGUUUUUGAUCGAUCGAACUCUUAACUCAUAACCCAUGAGGUGGUGACCAAGCAAGAAAGGAAGGAACUUUCGCGCAAAGAAAACACACACAGGGCAGGAACAUGACUACUCUCGCCCUUCCAUGUUUCGGAUCGAUCGAACUCUUCGGUGACCAAAAAAAUGAGAAAAGGGCAGGUCGUCGAUGUACAGACCACAGGCGCUCGGACGCACGGCUGGCAUCAUGGUCGUCAUAGCUCAUAACCCAUGAGGGGUGACGAAGCAAGAAAGGAAGGUUAGUUGACUCUCCUCUAAUUCUUUUUUUGUUGAGAAACUCUCCUCUCCGAUUCUGAUUGUCUUAGUUAGUCCUUGGAAAGCUCCCAACAUUAGAUUAAUUUAUGCAUUAAAAACUACAAAGAGUACAAUAGUAGAAACUAUAGUCAUAGAAACUGAUGUGGGUUGCAGAACUCCCGGGCGACGAGCAACGGCCUUGUACUUCACCCGGACAAGCACCAUUGGGUCGACGUUGCAGCCAGCGGCUGCGGCCAUGCAUUCGGAAAUUCCAUGGCAUGAUGCAUAUAAAUUGGAUCUGUAGGUGGGUUCAGAAGAUGAUUUUUUUCUAUGCUUCUCCUAUGAUUCAUGAAGCUCCAAGCGAGCAAGAAGUUUCAGUCCACCUUUACUCAUGGCCUCCCCUUCUCGUCUGGUGGACGGCCUUGGCAAUCUGAACAAGCUUUACGCGACUGGCACUCUUGUUGAUCCCAUAUGAGUCAUUAAGCUGUUUUGUGCGCAAGGUUGAGAUAGUUGGGGCCUGUAACUGUGUUGUGGUGAGCUUCUUCCUUUCUUUGAGGGUUUCCCAAUCCCUUCUCAAUCCAAAGUUCUGGCUCAGGCUGUGACUACAACUUUUAUUGACCUAGAUCUGAUGGUGAUAGUUAGGAAUAAUUCAAAAAAAAUUCAGGGUUUAUUGAACUGCACCACACAUAAGUAAUAGAUAUUAACCUAUGUUAACACUAAUAUUUGUAAUUUGUUACAUCAUGAUGUUUAAUAUUGCCAGGAGUUUUUUCUUGAAAAGAAAGUAUAAAAUUUACACCUCUUGCACCACUGAUAGAGAUGUGCCUUGCUGUAAUAAGAUGAUGGGCUCAUGACUUAUCUUUCUUGGACAAAACAAGGAAUCUAGCCAUAACUAUGUACAUAUCUGGAUACUCAUCUUUUUUUUCUCAAGCUAUCAUGUCAAGUGUAGAGGAAAUGAUGAUAUACAGAAUAAGGAGAAAGACAUGCUGACAGUACAUCUGGUUCCAAUUUUCAUCACACUAUGUGCUAAUAUAUGCUCUCAAUGAUAAUAUGCCACCUUGCGCUAUCUACACACAUAACAUGUUCUUCUUUUGUAUAAUUAUACACUAUAAAAUUAUUGUAUGCUUACCUUUGGUGGAAUUUCAGAGUUGAAAGGACAUCAAGUUUCCACGCGAGGGGAGUUAAUUUUGGUUGUCCUUUGUUUCAUAAAAAAUGUUGGUAGCAUUUAGAACUAUGUUUAUUUGGUGUAACCGGAAUUAAUCACUGGUUAAACAUAUAGAAGGAGUCUCUCUAUUGGAAGGGGAAAAUAUAAUAUUAGACACCAUUUAUUUUUCUGCUCGCUGAUGCAUGCAAUGUAUCAUUUGGCCUUGAUUUAAUGUACUGCACUUUUCUUCAUUGCUCUCUGUUCUUUAAUAAGUCAGACUCAUAUAGAACCUGAUAUUUCUUAGUGAUGUCUUUAGAUCCCAUGAAUGUCAUUUUGCACCAAAGGUUUGUAACCAUUGGGGAAUGUUUUCUUGCUCUGAUGUAUCAAGUUGCCAUGGGGGUGAUCUAGAGGUCUCUUCCUUGUCCAAAGUAUGUCGUACCUAAUCAAGACAUGUUCAUUUAAUUUACCCGUCAUGUAAAUGACACAACAUGAUUCACUUGUGUAUAGUGUAAAAAUAUAUUUAUUUAUGGCACACAGGUGUUCAAAUUAUAGUUGUGAAACGUGUAUAGUGUAAAAAUAUAAUUAUUAAGGGAAGUGACGUCACAGUGGUCGUGCCUCGUCUUCUCCGAGUCUCUGCUUGUGGUUUGUGUUCUUUAGAUCUGUUCAUGCCCUGAUAUUGCUAUCUGAUUUCAUCUUCUCUGGACUAAUUAGGGCUUUGCUUUUGUUUGCACCAAUUCGAGAUAAUGGUCAUGACAU